AACCUGCGGAAGGAUCAUUACAGUAUUCUUUUGCCAGCGCUUAAUUGCGCGGCGAAAAACCUUACACACAGUGUUUUCUUAUUAUAAGAACUCUAGCUUUGGCUUGGCUUAGAGAUAAGUUGGGCCAGAGGUUACUUAAACUUCAAUUUUAUUGAAUAUUUUUUAUUACACAGUCAAUUUGUUGAUUAAAUUCAAACAAUCUUCAAAACUUUCAACAACGGAUCUCUUGGUUCUCGCAUCGAUGAAGAACGCAGCGAAAUGCGAUAAGUAUUGUGAAUUGCAGAUUUUCGUGAAUCAUCGAAUCUUUGAACGCACAUUGCGCCCUCUGGUAUUCCGGAGGGCAUGCCUGUUUGAGCGUCAUUUCUCUCUCAAACCCUUGGGUUUGGUAUUGAGUGAUACUCUGCAAAGUGUUAGCUUGAAAAGUAUUGGCAGGAGUGGAGUACUUAAUAGUACGAUCCUGAUUUAUCAAUGUAUUAGGUUUUACCAACUCGUUGAUUUUGCAGGUUUUGUAAAUUUUAAGACUUUAUUUUAGAGCUCGGCCUUACAACCAACCAAAA
rnacentral:rRNA from 1 species